CACUUGUUUUGUUUGGCUAGUUGAUGAUUUGUUGUUUUAAUUUGUCUUUGUUUCAGCCUGUCCUCCUGAUGUACUCCACCCUACCUAGGUCCUGGAGAAGGGAAAAGUCACAGCAUGUGCAAAGGUCAGACCCUGGACAGCAUGGUGUGAAGUCAUACAUUUUGGAUCACACACAGAGCGAACAGCCUUCUUCUGGAACACCAGUGAUGUCCCACCAUACAGGGUUCAAAGGUCAUCGGGAGCCAUUUCAGGCCACUUCAUUGAGCUGCAGGGCAUUGACUGACCAGCCAAGUACAAGUGAUGCAAAGGUUAGUGGGGGCACACCAGCUGUUUCCCUUUGUGAAUGGAGGAAAUUCCUCAAUGGUCCAACCUAUCAAACCCCACCUCAUAAGCAAAGUUUCAUUAAUGGUAUAAACAAAGCAUGCUACUCAAACAGCCAUAGUUGUGAUUGCAAACUGUUGGUACAGUGUGAGAGUAAUUGGAUAUGCUACCAUGCAGUCAACAUUAAUUGUUUCUACAUUGACGUGAUAACACAGUACACUGUGU
rnacentral:lncRNA from 1 species